rnacentral:ncRNA from 1 species
GAGGGGGGACGACCCCCCCCCCUCCCCCUAAAAAAAAAUGAGGGGGGACGUGUCCCCC